CYGKUSCGGAWGCUUACMCAUGCAGUCGAACGGUGUCUUCGGACAUAGUGGCGGACGGGUGAGUAACGCGUGAGAAUCUGGCUUAAGGACGGGGACAACCACUGGAAACGGUGGCUAAGACCCGAUAUGCCGAGAGGUGAAAGUAUUUAUAGCCUUAAGGGGAGCUCGCGUCUGAUUAGCUAGUUGGUGGGGUAAGAGCCUACCAAGGCGACGAUCAGUAGCUGGUCUGAGAGGAUGAUCAGCCACACUGGGACUGAGACACGGCCCAGACUCCUACGGGAGGCAGCAGUGGGGAAUUUUCCGCAAUGGGCGAAAGCCUGACGGAGCAAUACCGCGUGGGGGAGGAAGGCUCUUGGGUUGUAAACUCCUUUUCUCWGGGAAGAAAAAAAUGACGGUACCUGAGGAAUCAGCAUCGGCUAACUCCGUGCCAGCAGCCGCGGUAAUACGGAGGAUGCAAGCGUUAUCCGGAAUCAUUGGGCGUAAAGCGUCCGCAGGUGGCACUUCAAGUCUGCUGUCMAAGGUCGGGGCUUAACUCCSAACAGGSAGUGGAAACUGAAACGCUCSAGUGCGGUAGGGGCAGAAGGAAUUCCUGGUGUARCGGUGAAAUGGGCYSASAUCCMGAAGAYCACCGGUGACGAAAC
rnacentral:rRNA from 1 species